UUUACCAAGGUUUCCUUUCUUUACCAAGAUUUCCUUUCUUUACCAAGGUUUUCCUUUCUUUAUCAAGGUUUCCAUUCUUUACCUAAGUUUUCCAUUAUUCACCAAGGUUUUCCUUUCUUUACCAAUGUUUUCUUUCUUU